rnacentral:rRNA from 1 species
CUAGCCCUAAACCCAAAUAGUUACAUAACAAAACUAUUCGCCAGAGUACUACUCGCAACUGCCUAAAACUCAAAGGACUUGGCGGUGCUUCACAUCCACCUAGAGGAGCCUGUUCUAUAAUCGAUAAACCCCGAUAGACCUUACCAACCCUUGCCAAUUCAGCCUAUAUACCGCCAUCUUCAGCAAACCCUAAAAAGGAACAAUAGUAAGCACAAUCAUAGCACAUAAAAACGUUAGGUCAAGGUGUAGCUUAUGGGUUGGAAAGAAAUGGGCUACAUUUUCUACAUAAGAAUAUCCACCAUACGAAAGUUUUUAUGAAACUAAAAACCAAAGGAGGAUUUAGCAGU